CACCCCCGGCGCGAGCGAGCGAUCGCAACAAAACAAAACAAAUUCGUGCCGGCUUCCUGUUGUGCAACCUCUUUCUGAAUGGGGUGUUGGAGGGAGGGUGGACUUUGGAAUCGGGAAAACCUGGAAAUCUCAACUCCACUACUUCCUCCGAAGAUUAGAGGUUGUACCCUGGCCCAUUGAGGACUUCAGUCCUGCUCUCUGAGGCUUUGUAAAGGGCAGGUCUCCAGCAGAAGGUGUGGCCCAGAUUAAAGGUGUAUGCCGCCACACCUGGAUCUGGGACUUGCUUUGUCCCAGAUGACCUUGAACUCAGAGAUCUCCUUGCCUUAGUCUCCUGGGAUUCAUAGCCACUAUGCCUCAAGAUCUCCAGGCCAAGAUCCAGGUCAGAAACUUGUAUCUCCCAACCUCAAGAUCUGGAUCACAGAGCCGAACAUUACCCCUCUUUGGAGAGUUCGGUGCAUGCUGAUGACGAGUGGAUGUAUCACAAAGACACACCAGUAUAUGAAGAGCCUUCUGUUGGAAGCUACCAAGUGGCACUGUAAGAAGAAGCACCAUCUUAUCCCGGUUGUUUAUAUUAGUUCUCUACGGGUUCUGUCACAAAGGAUGGUAGACUGCUGACUUCAGACAACGGGAUUCAUUUUCUUACAGUUCAAGAGGCUGAUUUACUCCAAGGAUUUCUCAUGCCCUUUGGAGUCCUAUCCUGUCCCUAAUUAGUCUAGAAGAAACUCUGACAUCCCACCUUUGUCUAAAUAUCUUAAAACAGAACUCUCACAAGGGAAGACAUUUCCCAAAUCAGUAUCAUAGAAUAGACAUGCCUUGCUAGACGUCCUCUGUUACCCUUGAGACCUGACUCUCAGCAUCCGUUAUUGAUUUCAACUUCUCUGUGGAACAAUUCCUCCAAUGGUUUAGUUGAGUACAAGGCUACCCAGCUAAAGACAGGAUAUAGUAAUAUAUAAUAUAAUAUAAUAUGAUAUAAUAUACAUUCAUAUAUAAUAAAAAUUAUUCCUGUUUGCCUG
rnacentral:lncRNA from 1 species